CUGGAAAAACUAGAGGCCAUUGCCACAGAGAUCGAGCGGACUACAGGGAGGAGUGUGAAGAUUAUACAAGCAGAUUUUACAAAAGAUGACAUCUAUGAGCAUAUUAAAGAAAAACUUACAGGCUUAGAAAUUGGAAUUUUAGUCAACAAUGUCGGAAUGCUUCCAAACCUUCUCCCAAGCCAUUUCCUGAAUGCACCAGAUGAAAUCCAGCACUUGAUCCACAGUCAAGAGUACCACUUUUCACGAUAUCUCUAGGAUAUGGACAUCUUCCUCCUUCUCUGCACAUCAAAACUUACCUGUCCAUUGUCCUAUUCUUCUGGGGUGCUGCACUCCACUUUAUAAAGGGUAUUCCAUCGUCCUGUGUAAGCCCCGAGUCUGCUGCACUGGAUGAUAAUGCCAGACUGCUUGGGCGCUGCUGCACAUCCUCACCAAA
rnacentral:sRNA from 1 species